rnacentral:tRNA from 1 species
GGGGGAAUAGCUUAACGGAAAAGCAUUGCGUGUACAGUUAAAUAAAAGCAAAGACUAGGGGUUCGAAUCCCCUUUCCCUCG